UGGCAACAUAGGCGCAACUACUUCGAGUUGGCUGCCAAGCAACAAUAUAAUAAUUAAUUAAUUCUAAUAAGUGUCCUGCGUGGCAAAUAAAUACAUUUGAAACAAAAAAUAAAGGUCUUUGAAUUUCGCUGCAAACAAGCAAUGGGAAUUGAUUAGUUGCAUAUUGGUUUGCAAGUACAGAAACGGAAGCCAUAUGACAAAGGAAUCUACUUUAUAUGGAUGUUAGUUAUGUUAGAACACAAAAUAUGAAAACUGAAAAUAAUAUACCAACUUAUUGGAUGGAGCUAUAUGAUAUAUUCGACUGAAGUUGAUAAGAUUUUGUGCUUAUGAAACUUGCAUAGAGAGGGGAGUAAAUGUCAAGUGUGCUCAAGAUAUUCAAUAAAAAGUUUUCGUAAUUUCGCUACUUUUAUCCGAUUAUUCCUGAAGAGCAUGUGCCAAGAGUCUGGAGAAAAUCGUAGAUGCUAAGACUGGUGCAGUUAUCUGCCUGAUAUCGGAUAUCUGGUACAUCCUGCAACAGAAAGACGGACUUAUGGCUAUAGUCUUACAGCUGAGAGACUUAUCUGCAUAGAAAUAGAAGGACGGAGGGAUAUGGCUGCUGAUCAUAUAUUCUUUAUGGAUCGGAGACGUCUUCUUCUAUGACAAAAUUGAGGCUAUACAAACUUUCGAUAAGUAGGGUGAAGUACAGAAAAUACAUGUCCCUAAAGGGCAACCAAAAAGAUUCAACUUUAAACCCUUUGUUUUUUUUUCUCAAUAUAAAGCCUUAAUCAUCCAGAGAACAUAGAUCAUGUUCUCACAUAAUUGAAUUGAAUAUUUACGUUUAUCCAAUGGAGAACUCUUUCAGCAUUUUUAAGAGUAACUUCGUCUUUAAUAUAAUAUGGAAUCACUUAGCAGAACUCAAUAUGUAAUAGUGUAUUUAUUUUCCAUUUGAAUGAAUAUAUAACAUGCGUUUUUUGCGUAAUUUAUUAACUCAUCAUUUGCAUAAUUUAUUAAUUAAAUUUUGCACUUUAAUAUUAUUUAAAUAUAAGUUUGUGUUGACAAUUUAUUAUUGAAUUUGCGUUGUUCUCGUUGCUGACAAAUAGAUUUUUGGCAGUAACAAUAUGCAACUGUUGCGGAGCCUUUUCCUGUCCACACAGCAGACGAC